UACGGAGGGUGCAAGCGUUAUCCGGAUUUACUGGGUUUAAAGGGUGCGUAGGCGGGCCCUUAAGUCAGUGGUGAAAGCUCCGAGCUUAACUCGGAAGCUGCCAUUGAUACUAUAGGUCUUGAAUUCGGUCGAGGUUGGCGGAAUGUGUCGUGUAGCGGUGAAAUGCUUAGAUAUGACACAGAACACCGAUUGCGAAGGCAGCUAGCUAGACCGACAUUGACGCUGAGGCACGAAAGCGUGGGGAUCAAACAGG
rnacentral:rRNA from 1 species